UAUUUCAUGGGUCUAUUUUGGUGAUGUGUUCUUUUCUGACAUUUUGCAUUUGAUGUUUUUAAUUUUUUUGGAUUUAUAUGACUUCUUUAGCUUGGACUGAACCAGGGCUUUUUCUAUUUUUAUUUGGGUUUAUCUAUUAAAGUUUGUAUCUUGAUUUCUUUUAUGGAUUCACAAGCAACACCAAAAUAUUUUCGCAAUAGUUGCAUAUGGGUCUGUAUAUACAUAUUUUAGAUGGAUUCACAAGCAACACCGCAGACAAAGAGCUUCAUUGGUAGAGGGCUGAAUUUUAUCCCAAAGGCCCCAACUAACCCAGAUGACCGGACUAUGAUUCAUAUUCGUCCUUUUCCACAUAACAAUGAUUUUUCAGAUCCUAAAAUCGUGAAGUGCAUCUCUCAAUUGUGAUUACAUGGGCUGAAACAGCUCUCUCCCCCAAGGAUGCAAUUUGUGCUGAAUUUCAGAAACGGUAUAGGUGGACUGACGAGCAGACUCCGUUAAUAGCCACACUAUUCUAGCUGAAGUGCGCUAUUAGAACAAAAGACAAGCUCUCAAAAGAUCAUAAGGAAGCAAUAAGUUUAGUUGGCGCUGACCAUCCAGGUCAAGGAGCGGAAUAUAUGCAUGAGUAUAACCCUUGGUGCUCAACUAAUAUAUGGUCGCAGAUUUUUGACCAAUGGAGAGAUGAAAAUUGGUUGAAGAAAUGAAAGAUUGCUGCUGAGAACCGAGCAGCAGGUGUACCUGAUGGCGAGAAGGCCAAAUAUACCUAAAGGGUGGCAGUAUCUCCCAGUUGGCACAUUUGGCUGCACGGCCACAGGAGUCCGCGUCUCAGCGUGAGCCUAUCCACUGGAUGGAUGUGUAUGUUGCCAGUCGUGAUGGCAUGCUCGAAGCAGUUAAAAUAGUGGUAAUAACAAACUAUUUCCAGUUUUAAUUGUGGCGAAGUUGAAUUUAAAUUUUUUGAAAUGAAAUUACAAAACGUGUUAGUAUUAUUUAGUAAUGGAAUUACCAAACGUGUUAAUUUUCCAUUUGUACAAGUAAUUGCUUUUAUGAUAGAAUUUUUGACAUAUCAUUUUAACACAACUUCUUUUUAAUUAGACAAUUGUUAUAAAGUUUUCAUGUACAAUUAGUAUUUAAUCAAUUCAUUUUGACUAUUUACAUGCUAAUAUGAUGACAAAAUAAUUAUCAUCUCUUAAUGGAUGAGUGCUAUUCCGGGGCACUCCACGUCCACAUAUUGAUCAAAAAUUGUGGGAGAGGGCCUCUAUUGUCAAGAACUAUGUAAAGGGUCAAGGAUAACAAAGACGCCCAUUGAAGAACAUAAUUAAAGGUAGUUUCACCAGACAUUGAAUAUACCUAAUCACCAUGUUGUUCCUGCUCUUGUGCUGCUGCUAAUGCGCGGGCUAACUCUUCAGGAUCCAUCGCCCGUAGAUGCUCUCCUAGUGUAGGAAGAAGCUCUCGAUCCUUGUAUAUAGCUUUAACAUAAUCAGCUAGAGUAUGUCCAGAUGGAUGAGUCGAUGACUGUGUGCUCCCCGAACCACAAAUGAAUGAAUGGGCGUCUUCGUUGUCCUUGACCCUUUACAUAGUUCUUCUUGACAAUAGACGCCCUUUCCCACAACUAUUGAUAAAUAUGUGGACGUGGAGUGCUCACGGGAUAACGCUCAUCCAUUAAAAGACGAUAAUUAUCAUGUAAUCAUAUUAGCAAGUAAAUAGUCAAAAAUGAAUUGGUAGAAUACUAAUUGUAAUUGAGAGCUUUAUUAUAGCUGUUUAAUAAAUAAAAAGUUGUGUGGAGUUUAUGUGUCAGAAAUUCUAGCAUAAAAUUAUAAUAGCAAUUAUUUAAUUUCAUAAUAAUAUUAACACAUUCUUUAAUUUCAUUUCAAAAAGUUAAAUUCAAUUUAGACAAUUAUAAUUGAAAGUAGUUUGUUAUUACCGCUGUUUUAACGGCUUCUGUCUGGCCAUCACGAGUGGCAAAAUACACAUCUAACCAGUGGAUAGGCUUAUCUUGAGAUGCACACUCCUAAACAAAAUAGAUGUCAAUAUUAUAAACUAAACUUGUGAUAUCAUCAAACUCAUGAUUGCAAACAAUUUAAAGCUAAUCAUACCCUCGCAGCCAAAUGCGCCAAUUAGGAUAUACUACCACCCUUGUAGCUACCUUUGGCCUUCUUGUCAUCAGUACACCUGCAGCUCGGCUCUCGGCGACAAUCUUUCUUCCUUUUCUUUUCAACCAAUUUUCAUCUCUCCAUUGGUCACACAUCUGAGCUCAUAAGGAUUAUACUCAUGCAUAUAUUCCGCUACUUGACUUGGAUGGUCAGUGGCAUCAAGACUUAUGGCUUACUGCGAUUUUUUGAAAGCUUGUCUUUUGUUCUAAUAGCGCACUUAUGGCAGAAUAGAGUGGCUGCAACGGACCCUGCUCGUCGGUUCACUUGUACCAUUUCUGCAAAUCUAUAAAUACAAGUCAAUUUGAAAUAAUUUAGUAAAACUGUCUUAAAUCAAAAAAAUUUACUAAUUGAAUAUAAUUUUGUACUCGAGAUUUUAUUAUCAUAGUUAAAUAAAAGAAAAGAAAGCGAUCCAUGUGCAACAA